rnacentral:rRNA from 1 species
UCCAGACUCCUACGGGAGGCAGCAGUGGGGAAUAUUGCACAAUGGGGGGAACCCUGAUGCAGCGACGCCGCGUGGGUGAGGAAGUACUUCGGUAUGUAAAGCCCUAUCAGCAGGGAAGAAAAUGACGGUACCUGACUAAGAAGCCCCGGCUAACUACGUGCCAGCAGCCGCGGUAAUACGUAGGGGGCAAGCGUUAUCCGGAUUUACUGGGUGUAAAGGGAGCGCAGGCGGUCCGGCAAGUCUGAUGUGAAAGGCGGGGGCUCAACCCCCGGACUGCAUUGGAAACUGUCGGGCUGGAGUGUCGGAGGGGCAGGCGGAAUUCCUAGUGUAGCGGUGAAAUGCGUAGAUAUUAGGAGGAACACCGGCGGCGAAGGCGGCCUGCUGGACGACAACUGACGCUGAGGCUCGAAAGCGUGGGGAGCAAACAGGAUUAGAUACCCUCGUAG